AUUGAACGCUGGCGGCAUGCCUUACACAUGCAAGUCGAACGGCAGCACGGGAGCAAUCCUGGUGGCGAGUGGCGAACGGGUGAGUAAUACAUCGGAACGUGCCCAAUCGUGGGGGGUAACGCAGCGAAAGCUGUGCUAAUACCGCAUACGGUCUACGGAUGAAAGCAGGGGAUCGCAAGACCUUGCGCGAAUGGAGCGGCCGAUGGCAGAUUAGGUAGUUGGUGAGGUAAAGGCUCACCAAGCCGUCGAUCUGUAGCUGGUCUGAGAGGACGACCAGCCACACUGGGACUGAGACACGGCCCAGACUCCUACGGGAGGCAGCAGUGGGGAAUUUUGGACAAUGGGCGAAAGCCUGAUCCAGCCAUGCCGCGUGCAGGAUGAAGGCCUUCGGGUUGUAAACUGCUUUUGUACGGAACGAAACGGCCUUUUCUAAUAAAGAGGGCUAAUGACGGUACCGUAAGAAUAAGCACCGGCUAACUACGUGCCAGCAGCCGCGGUAAUACGUAGGGUGCAAGCGUUAAUCGGAAUUACUGGGCGUAAAGCGUGCGCAGGCGGUUAUGUAAGACAGUUGUGAAAUCCCCGGGCUCAACCUGGGAACUGCAUCUGUGACUGCAUAGCUAGAGUACGGUAGAGGGGGAUGGAAUUCCGCGUGUAGCAGUGAAAUGCGUAGAUAUGCGGAGGAACACCGAUGGCGAAGGCAAUCCCCUGGACCUGUACUGACGCUCAUGCACGAAAGCGUGGGGAGCAAACAGG
rnacentral:rRNA from 1 species